UACGUAGGGGGCAAGCGUUGUCCGGAAUCAUUGGUCGUAAAGCGCGUGUAGGCGGCUCGAUAAGUCUGCUGUGAAAGUUCAGGGCUCAACCCUGAAAUGCCGGUGGAAACUGUCGAGCUAGAGUCCGGAAGAGGCGAGUGGAAUUCCUGGUGUAGCGGUGAAAUGCGCAGAUAUCAGGAGGAACACCAAUUGCGAAGGCAGCUCGCUGGGACGUGACUGACGCUGAGACGCGAAAGCGUGGGGAGCAAACAGG
rnacentral:rRNA from 1 species